rnacentral:rRNA from 1 species
AGACGGCCCUAUGGGUUGUAAACUGCUUUUGUACCGGAGAAAACCUUUCCCUGCGGGGAGAGCUGAUCGUACGGUGAGAAUAAGCAUCGGCUAACUUCGUGCCAGCAGCCGCGGUAAGACGAAGGAUGCAAGCGUUAUCCGGAUCCAUUGGGUUUAAAGGGAGCGUAGGCGGUCUAAUAAGUCAGUGGUGAAAUCUCUCGGCUUAACUGAGAAAUGGCCAUUGAUACUGUUGGACUUGAGUACAGAUGCCGUUGGCGGAAUAUGACAUGUAGUGGUGAAAUACAUAGAGAUGUCAUAGAACACCGAUUGCGAAGGCAGCUGACGAAACUGUAACUGACGCUGAGGCUCGAAAGUGUGGGGAUCAAACAGGAUUAGAUACCCUGGUAGUCCACACUGUAAACGAUGAUUACUCGCUGCUGAGGGGUGACCUUCAGUGGCUUAGCGAAAGCGAUAAGUAAUCCACCUGGGGAGUACGCCGGCAACGGUGAAACUCAAAGGAAUUGACGGGGGCCCGCACAAGCGGAGGAGCAUGUGGUUUAAUUCGAUGAUACGCGAGGAACCUUACCAGGGCUUGAAAGUUAGUGANCGGUGGUGAAAGNCCACCUUCAGCAAUGACACGAAACUAGGUGCUGGGUGGCUUGCGUCAGCUCGUGCCGUGAGGUGUUGGGUUACGUUCCGCAAAGAGCGCAACCCUUACAUUAUUGCCACGGUUAGCUGGGGA